UACGAAGGGGGCUAGCGUUGCUCGGAAUCACUGGGCGUAAAGCGCAAGUAGGCGGCUUUUUAAGUCAGGGGUGAAAUCCUGGAGCUCAACUCCAGAACUGCCUUUGAUACUGAGAAGCUUGAGUCCGGGAGAGGUGAGUGGAACUGCGAGUGUAGAGGUGAAAUUCGUAGAUAUUCGCAAGAACACCAGUGGCGAAGGCGGCUCACUGGCCCGGUACUGACGCUGAGGUGCGAAAGCGUGGGGAGCAAACAGG
rnacentral:rRNA from 1 species